GACUGGGGUCUUUAUCUGGCAGGUAUCUGGAUUAUGGCAAUGAGGAAUGGAAAAGGCAAGCCAUGGGUGUCCUGGAGGCUCUGGAGACGUUCUGUGAUGAAACCAGAAAGAACUUUGAAGCAACGCUGGCUUGGCUUCAGGAGCACGCCUGUUCCAGAACGUAUGGGUUAGGAACCCGGUUGCCAUGGGAUGAACAAUGGCUCAUUGAGUCCCUGUCGGACUCCACCAUCUAUAUGGCCUACUACACCGUGGCCCAUCUCCUCCAGGGAGGG